GGCGGGGAGGUGACCCCGGGUGGGCGGGGCAGCUCCGCCCCGCCCACCCGCGCACUUAAAGGGACCGCGAUGGUGCGGAAACGCCCGUAAGGGUGGGGGCAAUGGUGGGUGUAGGGCUGGCCUCUGUGGUGGCUCCGCGGUUCUGCUCCUGCCCGCGGGGUGUAACGGCACUUUCUCAGUUGGAAAGCCUAGCCUAAGGAGAGGCGCCCCCGCCCUGCUGGGCUGCUAACGGCUGAGGGGCCGCCCUCGCUCGGGGUCUCUCCGCACCCACCGCCCGUCCCGCCUCAGCGGGGGGCCGGGCCCUGCCCCGCCAUGGAGAAAUACGAGGUGCUGGAGCAGCUCCAGCCUGGGGCGCUGGGCACUAUGCUGGUAGUUGAAUUGAAAACAGAAAAGGGUGCAGAGAAGAAAUAUGUUCUGAAGCAGGUUGAAUGCAUUGAAGAAAAGCAAGCAAAUGAGGCCUUGAAGGAGGCAAUGGAUUUGCUAAAACUUCAUCAUUCAAACAUCUGUGCUUACAAGGAAGUGUUUGUGACUUGGGAUAAUGAGAUAUCAUCUCUGUUCCUUUGUCUGGUAAUGCAGCACUCGGGCCAAGGAGAUCUUUCAUCAGUAAUCAAGGAAAAAAGGCAGAGAUCAGAAAAAAUAACAGACAUGGUGAUUCUGAAGUUCCUGGGACAGAUGGUAGAUGCUUUGCUUUAUAUACACAAACGGAGUAUUUUCCACAGAAAUCUCAAGCCAUCAAACAUUCUUGUGACUGGUGAAGCAUCCUUCAUGCUUAGUGACUUCAGUACAGAAACACUUAUGACAGAUGAGAUGAAAUGGAAAAUAAGAGUGGAAGAAAAUAGCAAGUCUUGGAUGGCUCCAGAAACAUUUGGUUUUUCUUUUACUGAGAAAUCUGACAUCUGGUCUCUAGGCUGUAUUCUACUUGACAUGACGACCUGCUUUGUUCUGAAUGCAGAAGAGAUAACUUCAUUACUGCAGGAUAUUAGACAGGAUACCAGCUGUCUUGAGGGAGUUCUGACACUGAUGCAAAAUGGAGAUAACAGCUCUUUGCCAUUAUUUCCAGUUUUAUUUAUGAUGCUACAGAUUCAGCCCAGCAUGAGACCCACAGCAAAGGAUCUGACUGAUGUUCCAUUUAUUAGGGAAUGCCUGACUGUUGCUGGUGCCUCUUUAGUAAAUGUGAAAAAGUCUUUGCCUUCCAAAAUAAUAGAUGUGCUCCUUGAGGGAGGAAUCGAAAGUGUUCUAGAAUUCAUGCAGGCUUUCUGGGAUAUAGAAGAAGCACAGGCUAAAGCCAUUCAACACCUUGCCAGCUUUGUAAGAGAUAAAAGUGCCUUGCCCUACCUGCUGACAUUCACAGAAUUGAUCACUUUUGCCAUGAAGACUCAUGUAGAUUCUCUCAAGUUACAAGUAGAUGGUUGCAGUUUAUUGCUUGAAAUCUUUAGUCAAGCUCUAGAACAGGAUGUGGUGAUGGCCCUGGGUGAGAAUGUGACCAGCUCUCUGUCGGAGACAGUGAGAAAACACUCGGAAAAUGAAGAGUUACUGUCAUUGCUCUGCACAUUAUUGAUGAUGAUUUCAGCCAGUGAAGUUGCUGCAGAGAAUCUAAGGAAAGUUGGAGUAAUUCCAGACCUUCUGUCAAUUUUAAGAAAUUUUUAUCAUAAUGAAAAGAUCUGCCUCUCUUGCUGUGGAGCUCUCUGGAGCUUGGCUGCGAGUGAGAAAAAUGUAGACCAAGCAUUGCUGAAAAGUGGAGUCCCUGUUAUCUCUGUGGUCCUUCAAGAGCACCUCCAGAAUGGAACAGUUACGGAGUCUGCUUGCUCGGCUCUGUGGGCAUUGUCACUUCAAGGCUGCUUAACAGAAAAUGAUUAUGAGCCCACAACAGUGCUUCUGCUGGAUGCGCUCAGGAUGAAUCUAGAAAGACCAGUGCUGGUGAAGAAUGCGUGCCUGGCAUUAGCAAGCCUUCUAAGGCAAUCUGAAAUAUCAGCUUUGAGAUUUAUAACGGAUUCAAAAGGCAGUGGAAUAAACCUGAUCAAAGAUGCCUACAACCUUCACUUUGAUGAUCCAGAAGUGGUGGAAAGUAUCUGUGUGCUGGUUAACGAGAUGGUUCAGUAUGGUGAGAUGGUGGUGGUGUUUGUCAAGUCUCUUCCUCUCCCCAACUCCCAAAAGAAUGUUAAGAAAACCAUAACAGCAGCUGCUCAGGGAUGUGUUAGUUGCUCUCAGGAAAGACUUCCUAUAUAUCUGAGAAGGGAGGAUGAAUUGGAACUGAGAGGUCAUCCCACCUGCUCUUGGAUAAUUAUAAAUGCCCCUCUGAUGUUAUAACUUCAUCUUAUAUCUUGCCUUCUGUUUGUGUAGAUGUCUCCUCCCUGCUCUCUUUUAGCUCCUGCUGAAACCAUUGGCAGUUGUAACCUUACAUUAUCCUGUUCAUUUACACUACAGAUGAUGUUGUGCUGGAUAUGCUGUCCCAGAAGAUGGAAGAACUGCUGUUUGAAAUAAAAAACCGUUUUCCAUCUAGCGUGGAGAUAAUGACCCUUGUGGAUCCAACGCUUUUGAAACUGCAGAAGUAAAAGAAGAACUUUUUGUAUAAGA